UACGGAGGGUGCAAGCGUUAUCCGGAUUCACUGGGUUUAAAGGGUGCGUAGGUGGGCAGGUAAGUCAGUGGUGAAAUCUCCGGGCUUAACCCGGAAACUGCCAUUGAUACUAUCAGUCUUGAAUACCGUGGAGGUAAGCGGAAUAUGUCAUGUAGCGGUGAAAUGCUUAGAUAUGACAUAGAACACCAAUUGCGAAGGCAGCUUACUACCCGAAUAUUGACACUGAGGCACGAAAGCGUGGGGAGUCAAACAGG
rnacentral:rRNA from 1 species